rnacentral:rRNA from 1 species
AUUGAACGCUGGCGGCAUGCUUUACACAUGCAAGUCGAACGGUAACAGGCCUUCGGGUGCUGACGAGUGGCGAACGGGUGAGUAAUGCAUCGGAACGUACCCAGCGGUGGGGGAUAACGCAGCGAAAGCUGUGCUAAUACCGCAUGUGAUCUGAGGAUGAAAGCGGGGGACCGAGCAGCAAUGUUUGGCCUCGCGCCUUUGGAGCUGCCGAUGUCGGAUUAGCUAGUUGGUGGGGUAAAGGCCUACCAAGGCGACGAUCCGUAGCGGGUCUGAGAGGACGACCAGCACCCUCGGAGCUGGGGACGGUCCCAGGCACCGAGAGAAGGAAGCGAUGGAGAUAUUUGGAGAUGGGACGCAUGCUGACUCAGCAAUGCGGCGUGCGGGAAGAAGGCCUUCGGGUUGUAAAGCGCUUUUGGCAGGAGCGAAACGGUGUCCGCUAAUACCGGGCGCUAAUGACGGUACCUGCAGAAUAAGCACCGGCUAACUACGUG